rnacentral:rRNA from 1 species
UAGGGAAUCUUCCGCAAUGGGCGAAAGCCUGACGGAGCAACGCCGCGUGAGUGAUGAAGGUCUUCGGAUCGUAAAACUCUGUUAUUAGGGAAGAACAAAUGUGUAUGUAACUAUGCACGUCUUGACGGUACCUAAUCAGAAAGCCACGGCCAACUACGUGCCAGCAGCCGCGGUAAUACGUAGGUGGCAAGCGUUAUCCGGAAUUAUUGGGCGUAAAGCGCGCGUAGGCGGUUUUUUAAGUCUGAUGUGAAAGCCCACGGCUCAACCGUGGAGGGUCAUUGGAAAAUGGGAAACUUGAGUGCAGGAGAGGAGAGUGGAAUUCCAUGUGUAGCGGUGGAAUGCGCAGAGAUAUGGGGGAACACCAGUGGCGAAGGCGACUUUCUGGUCUGUAACUGACGCUGAUGUGCGAAAGCGGGGGGAGCAAACAGG